UGGGGAGUAACUUAAAGAAGGCAAGAGUGGUGGCGUCCAAAGUCAUUGGUGUAGGUUCAAGUCCUGUCUUCCCAGCC
rnacentral:tRNA from 1 species